rnacentral:rRNA from 1 species
AUUGAACGCUGGCGGCAGGCCUAACUCAUGCAAUUCGAACGAGUGGCGGACGGGUGAGUAAUGUCUGGGAAACUGCCUGAUGUAGGGGGUUAACUACUGGAAACGGUAGCUAAUACCGCAUACCAUCGGAUGUGCCCAGAUGUGAGUAGCUAGUAGGUGGGGUAACUGCUCACCUAGUCGACGACCCCUAGCUGGUCUGAGAGUAUGACCCGCCAGACGGGAACUGAGACACUGUCCAGACUCCUACGGGAGGCAGCAGUGGGGAAUAGUGCACAAUGGGCGCAAGCCUGAUGCAGCCAUGCCGCGUGUAUGAAGAAGGCCUUCGGGUUGUAAAGUACUUUCAGCGGGGAGGCGUUACCCGCAGAAGAAGCAACGGCGAAAUCCGUGCCAGCAGCCGCGGUAAUUC